GAAUUUCCCCAACACCCCCCUCCCCAGUUUUGUGAACUAGUUACAUGCCAAUUUAGUGACUGUUCGGAAAUUUGAAUUUAAAAUUGAAACAUUAAUACACACUUUAAAAGCAUAUACAGUGUAUGAUAAAAUAUGUGUAUCUGAAAAAGUAUCAUAGAUUUGAAAAGUAUGAACAUAGACUAGCUUCCUUAUACAGCUGUUGUUUUUAUGACAAUGUCAGGGCGUUCAUUUCAGUGGUGUUGGCCAACCUAAUAAUUUCAAAUGAUUUGUAAGCAAAGUCUAAAUGAGCUCUCCCUGAUGAGCUAGUGAUUAGCUGGGGCUGCAGGGGAAGGCUUCAGGACCAGAUUGUAUUUACAUUCACACCUAAUCUUCCUAGGUAUCCAGCAAACAGAGCUGUGUUUCCCAAGUGAUAGAUUUUGGCUGGGGUUGGGUUACAAAUCACUUGGAUGGGGAGGGAAAUGAAAUGUUGUUCUAACUGUAUGAGUAAAGGUCAGUAGAACUGUACUUCGCCUGUGCUGAUUGAGGCCAUCAAGAGAGAGGGUGGGGACCUGUCCCUCUCCACUGUUUAAAGACAGAGCUCAUUAGGCUCCAUAGAUAGUCUUUUGUUCUGUUAAGUGACCAUUGCAGCUGAAAUCACUGAUGAUCAGGUCUAAGUGACAGGUUUCAGAGUAACAGCCGUGUUAGUCUGUAUUCGCAAAAAGAAAAGGAGGACUUGUGGCACCUUAGAGACUAACCAAUUUAUUUGAGCAUAAGCUUUCGUGAGCUACAGCUCACUUCAUCGGAUGCAAGUGCUUAGUCCUGCUGUGGGGACAGUGCUUCUGUGGAAGACACAGCCCAGACUGCACUAGCUGCAAGCUCAGCUGAAAUCACUGAGAGCUGGGUGGAACCUCAAGAGACCAACUCACAGUGGCAGGUGGCAGCAGAAGGUGACUGCGUAGAGCCAUUGGUAACAGAAUGGUGGAGUGAACGGUGGCACAACGAACAGCAGUGGCCAGAGUGAACAGUGAGCAGCUGGAGGAACGAGCAGGGUGCCUCCUUGCCCCCCACCUGGGAGGUGUACUCACGUGAAAGCACCUCUGAAUUCUGAUUCUCCACUGACCAAGGACAACAUGGGUCAAAGUGAAAAUGAAAAGACAAAAAAACAAUACAGCAAUUUUUUCACUCAAAGGCCUCAAAAACUAACCAAGGUAAAGAACACAUCAAGAACCAAGAAUACAUCAACAUGUCAUCUGAAGGUUCAAGUGGUAUAUCUACAUCCGACCAGCCCGAAGCACAAAUACAGCUACCUAUUGAAGAAACAGCGUCUCCAAAACCUAAAGGCAGUUCCCAAUGUUUGUCGGUCAAAGUGUUCCCAUUUAUUGAAGUUACAAAAGAUGGCUACUGGUGCACCUCUUGCAAAAAGUUUACGAAGAAGGAAAGCUUCCCAAUGGCAUUUUGGGGUGUAUAUGUAGGAGCAUUGCCAGCAGAUGGAGGGACGUGAUCGUUCCCCUCUAUUCGACAUUGGUGAGGUCUCAUCUGGAAUACUGUGUCCAGUUUUGGGCCCCACACGACAAGAAGGAUGUGGAAAAAUUGGAAAGAGUCCGGCGGAGGGCAACAAAAAUUAUUAGGGGACUGGAACACGUGACUUAUGAGGAGAGGCUGAGGGAACUGGGAUUGUUUAGUCUGCGAAAGAGAAAAAUGAGGGGGGAUUUGAUAGCUGCUUUCAACCACCUGAAAGGGGGUUCCAAAGAGGAUGGAUCUAGACUGUUCUCAGUGGUAGCUGAUGACAGAACAAGGAGCAGUGGUCUCAAGCUGCAGUGGGGGAGGUCUAGGUUGGGUACUAGGAAACACUAUUUCAUCUGGAGGGUGGUGAAGCACUGGAAUUGGUUACCUAGGGAGGUAGUGGAAUUUCCUUCCUUAGAGGUUUUUAAGGCCCGGCUUGACAAAGCCCUGGCUGGGAUGAUUUAGUUGGGGAUUGGUCCUGCUUUGAGCCUGGGGGUUGGAUGAGAUGACCUCCUGACAUCCCUUCCAACCCUGAUAUUCUAUGAUUCUAUGAUAAUUGGUAAAAGUGGAGGAGCUUGGUUUGUCAAACUGAUCAGCAAAGCCAAUGCUGACAAACUACGUGAAAAGACUGCAAAUCACCAGGACUCUGGACUGCAUCAACCUGCAGAAAGCCUCAUAAGCCAGUCACUCUCAAAGCCAAUCUUAGAAGUACUUAAUGAGGCUGUUAAGAAUGCUGGAGAGACAACACAGUUCAUGCGAACAAACGUGGCCGUGGCCUCCUACCUUCUAUUUAGGCAAGAGACACUGCACACCGCAGACUGGAGGCCAGUGUUAAGUGCACUGUGACUUGUUCAUCCGGAAGCUGAACUCUGGUUCCGAACAAGACCAGCAAAUGCUCACUGUCUUGCUGCAAGAAACUCAACUGACUGGCUAGACGCACGUGGUGCAACAGUGAAAGACUCAACAGCUGAAAAAGUGAAAGACUCUCUCACCACAUUCAAAAAAUUUGCAUACGUGGCUGAUGAAUGCACCGAUGCAAAUGGGCAUCAAGUAUUAAGUCACUGUGUACGUUAUUUUGAUGUCAGGGGUAGGCCAGUAGAUGCAUUUCUAGAUGUUCAAGUUAUAGAAGACACAUUGGCUGCAUCUGUGACAACCCACAUCUUAGAAGAGUUAAAUGCUUGUCAGUUGGACCCCAAACAGAUGGCUGCUUGUGCAUUUGAUGGAGGUGCAAACUUCUCUGGAAGACAUGGUGGAGUACAAGCUUUUCUCAGAGAAAAGUGUAACCCCAAUCUCUCCUAUACACACUGCAGAGGCCAUCUACUCCAACCAGCGCUAGUACGAGCUGCAGAAUCUUCAAAAAACAUUUAAAAAAGCUAUAAAUUUAAUGUCUUCAUUAUAUUCUUUUUUCAGCAAGAGUCCAAAAAGAUUGAAUAUCUUGGAAAAUAUAGAAGAUACACUGGACUGAAGUUCAAAUUAGUCCAACCUGGGAAAACCCGCUGGAUUUCUCAUGAGCGAUCCUUGGCUGUUGUCUUAAAAUUACUCUAGCCAUUAUUACUGGCUUUGGAAAGUAUCUACCAAGAUGGGAUGGAUCUAAGUAGUGAGGCUGGUGGAUUACUUUUGCUACUAUGUUCAGAGAAUAGUAUUGCCAUUCUCUCUCUUGUAAAUCUACUGUUGAAACCACUUUGGUCAUUAAACAAUGCCAUCCAGGCAUCUGCUACAACAGUAGUAGAUCUUUGUCCAGCAAUAGAAGCUACAUUUGGAUCAAUCAGAGAGCUAUGAUUUAAUUGGGGAUCAGUCCUGCUUUGAGCAGGGGGUUGGACUAGAAGACCUCCUGAGGUCCUUUCCAACCCUGAUAUUCUAUGAUUCUAUCUAUUGAAAAAGUACUGGAAGAAGCAAAGACUUCAGUCCAGAAAUUGACUAAUGAAGGCAUUUAUAUUGAAUCCUUAAGUGAAGAAGACAGAAGUGUUUAAGACAACUGAAAAAAUACAGACUUGAUUCUUAAAAAUCUACACCAGCGACUUCUAGGUUCUGCUCAACCUCUGCAUAGCUUUUACAGAUCCCUGUCCUAUAAAACACCGACAGUUGAGUGGAGUGAGGCACUACCAGCAAUGGGGCUGCCGUGUGCUCAGGACAGAAUAGAGAAUUUGAACACAGAGUGGAAUAUCAUAUGACGAAUGAAUGAAUAUUUGACUUCAACUUCUUUUUUAUCAUCACUAGUGGCUCGACCUGAUCUUUGUGCUCUGUUUCCUGGGAUGAAAGAAGUAGGAAUUCAUCUCUUGCUACUCCCAGUCACAACAGCUACAGCUGAGCGUUCUUUUUCAUCAUUGAAUAGAAUUUUGUGUUCUGAAAGAAGUCGCCUUCUGCCUGAUUAUGUGAAUGAACUAAUGAGCAUAUCAAUUGAAGGAGUGGAAGUACCGGACACACGAGAAGCCACCAAAGAUGAACGCAUGGCAUUCCAGAAGUUCAUUAACAGAGUUGUGCAAAAGUAUAACAAGAAACCAAGAAGGAUGGCGACGUAGUGCUUCACAGAAGGCUUGAGUAGCCAACUUUAAUUUGUGUGAUGAUUUUAAAACAUGAGUUAAAUCUAAUAAAAUGGUCAUGAAACGUU